rnacentral:misc_RNA from 1 species
AAGUCGUAACAAGGUCUCCGUUGGUGAACCAGCGGAGGGAUCAUUACAGAGUUGCAAAACUCCCACAACCAUCGCGAACAUACCUAAAACCGUUGCUUCGGCGGGCGGCCCCCGGGGACCUCCCGGGGCCUUCGGCCCAACCCAGGCGCCCGCCGGAGGUACACAACCCUGAGCUUUGCAUGGCCUCUCCGAGUCUUUGAAAUCAGUUAAAACUUUCAACAACGGAUCUCUUGGUUCUG